UACGGGGGGGGCAAGCGUUGUUCGGAAUUACUGGGCGUAAAGGGCUCGUAGGCGGCCAACUAAGUCAGACGUGAAAUCCCUCGGCUUAACCGGGGAACUGCGUCUGAUACUGGAUGGCUUGAAUUCGGGAGAGGGAUGCGGAAUUCCAGGUGUAGCGGUGAAAUGCGUAGAUAUCUGGAGGAACACCGGUGGCGAAGGCGGCAUCCUGGACCGACAUUGACGCUGAGGAGCGAAAGCCAGGGGAGCAAACAGG
rnacentral:rRNA from 1 species